UUCCCAUUCCGAACACAGUAGUUAAGCCUAUACACGCCGAGAGUACUUGGUUGGAAACGACCUGGGAGGUUAGGUAGUUGCUGGUU
rnacentral:rRNA from 1 species